UACGAAGGGUGCUAGCGUUGUUCGGAAUUACUGGGCGUAAAGGGCGCGUAGGCGGCUUGGCAAGUUGGGUGUGAAAGCCCAGGGCUCAACCCUGGAAUUGCACUCAAGACUGCCUUGCUUGAAUUCGGUAGAGGUUGGUGGAAUUCCCAGUGUAGAGGUGAAAUUCGUAGAGAUUGGGAAGAACACCCGUGGCGAAGGCGGCCAACUGGACCGACAUUGACGCUGAGGCGCGAAAGCGUGGGGAUCAAACAGG
rnacentral:rRNA from 1 species